GCCCUUAUGGCUCAGCGGCAGAGCGUCUGUCUCGUAAACAGAAGGUCCUGAGUUCAAUUCUCAGUGAGGGCA
rfam:Linderina pennispora strain ATCC 12442 DL89scaffold_14, whole genome shotgun sequence.